rnacentral:lncRNA from 1 species
CCUGGCAUAUCAGAGGUCGACCAAGCAAAUACGUCUGUAUUGGUCUGGAGAAAAGAAGUGAGGUGCCAAUGAUCCUCUUCAUAUAGGUUCGAGCCAAUCUUGAUAACUUUGUUUGGAUCCUCAUCGAUUGGCAUUGGGAUGAGAUCUUCCAUCGGAUGACCUCUCUAUUCAAUCAACUCAUCCCACACGUCAAGCUUGUCAUCGACU